GUCGCCGUGGCUGAGUGGUAAAGCGCUUGGCGUCAAAACCGAGGUAUCCUGUGUUCGAAUCCUGAUGAUGACU
rnacentral:tRNA from 1 species